rnacentral:rRNA from 1 species
AACUCUAUGCGGGGGAUCACUGGGACCGUGCUUCGACGAAGAGCACAGCCAACUGCGUGAAUUAAUGUGAAUCGCAAACUGCUUUGAACAUCGUUCUCUUGAACGCAAAUUGCUGCCGUAGGCUUGCCUACGGCCACGUGUGACUGAAAGUUG